rnacentral:misc_RNA from 1 species
AACGCAAAUUGCACUCCCUGGCACCCCGGGGAGUAUGCCUGUUUGAGGGUCAGUUUAAUAAAAAAUCGGGGCAUCGCUCUUGUGAUUCUCCGGAGGUUGUGUCAUCAUAACUUUUUAGGUUAAGAGGCUUAAAAUUGAUCUCUUUUUGCGCGCUUUACGGACGUAUAUAAAUAUUUUUUUAUUCGUCCAUUCAGUGCCAAAUUUUUUUAUUAGGUGCGAUCACGCUUGUGUUGUUUCGUGCCCAUAAUUUCUCAUCUUUUGACCUCAAAUCAGGUAGGGAUACCCGCUGAACUUAA